GUCUUGUGUCGGAUGAUUGCUGUGAGCGUAAGCUUAUAGAGGAAAGUCCGAACAUAUGGCCCGCGAGCUUCACAGCUCGCGGGCAAGAGUAGCGGGUAACGCCCGUCUGGAGCAAUCCACGAGAUGCGAACAGAGACGUCGCAAAGCGAAAGUGAUGCGAUAUCCAAAAAUUAGUUUUGUCGCGAAAGCGCCACAGUCAGUUUUUGGAUAAGCUCGCGCGGUAACGCGUGAGUUGCAACGGCUAAAUUCUUACUUGUAUGCAAGGCCGUGCUCUGCGAAAGCAGAGAGUGCCGCUUGAUCCGCUCGGUAACGAGCAGGACAGAUAAAUAGUCAUCGUCUCGCAAGAGAUACAGAAUUCGGCUUAUAGACACAAGACAAAC
rnacentral:RNase_P_RNA from 1 species